rnacentral:rRNA from 1 species
AUUGAACGCUGGCGGCAUGCCUUACACAUGCAAGUCGAACGGCAGCACGGGAGCAAUCCUGGUGGCGAGUGGCGAACGGGUGAGUAAUAUAUCGGAACGUGCCCAGUCGUGGGGAUAACGUAGCGAAAGCUACGCUAAUACCGCAUACGAUCUAUGGAUGAAAGCGGGGGAUCGCAAGACCUCGCGCGAUUGGAGCGGCCGAUAUCAGAUUAGGUAGUGGUGAGGUAAAGGCUCACCAAGCCGACGAUCUGUAGCUGGUCUGAGAGGACGACCAGCCACACUGGGACUGAGACACGGCCCAGACUCCUACGGGAGGCAGCAGUGGGGAAUUUUGGACAAUGGGCGCAAGCCUGAUCCAGCAAUGCCGCGUGCAGGAUGAAGGCCU